AGGACAAAGGCGGGCACCGCGCUUCACUUACAAUGAAAAGAAGAACUAAGUUCUUGUCCUA
rnacentral:tRNA from 1 species